GCAAGUCGUACGAAAACUUUUUUUGCUUGCAAGAAAAGUUUUAGUGGCGAACGGGUGAGUAACGCGUAAGAAUCUGCCCUCAGGAAGGGGAUAACAGUGGGAAACUACUGCUAAUACCCUAUAAGCGCAUGCGUAAAAGCCUUCGGGCACCUGGGGAUGAGCUUGCGUCUGAUUAGCUAGUUGGUGAGGUAAUGGCUUACCAAGGCGACGAUCAGUAUCUGGUUUGAGAGGAUGACC
rnacentral:rRNA from 1 species